rnacentral:lncRNA from 1 species
UAAUCUUCUUUCUUAUUUGAAGAGUAGGAAGCAAGCUGCACUGCGUAGUCACUCAAGGGACUUGAAUUACAUGAGUUAAAUGUCUACAACUGAAAUUCAUACCUCCAAUGGAUCUCAAGCCAAGUUUGGAGAACCUUAAAAAGGGACUUAUAGACUCCUUCAACGAAUUUUUGAGUUUAUUUUUAUAAUAUGAUACAAUGAAAUUUCAAAAUAUGUAACUUCAUUUGUAAUAGUAGAACCUCAGUGAUAUUUAUCAAACAAUAUUAAUAAUACAACUUUAUAUAUUAAUUCAUUCUAGUCUAGAACGAGAAUCCAACUCCCACUUUAAUAAUCUGUAUAACUUAUAUUAAUGUCCGAAAAUCUGGCAAAAAAACAUACUGGAUAUGUGAAUAUGAAAAAUGUAAUGCUAGGCUCCACACUGUAACGCCAUUGGAUAUCAACAGUGACAAUAAUUGUGUUUCCAAGACAGUAGGGGAACACUUCCAUCCGAAAAAUCCAUCCAAACCCAAAAUGUACGUAGAAAAAGUAAAAUUGAAGUCCCAAGCUCUGACUUCAAAAUUAUCUUCGCGCAUGUUAAUAAAACAAAUGUCAUCCAACUAUUCUCAUUAAUGUCCAAUUCAUCGAAUUUCGCUCGUAGCGUUUAUGGCUGGAGACAGCAAGUGAAUCAAGCUCCUCCAAUCCCUGUUGGAAGAUGUGAAUAUUCACUUCCCGUGACUACAGAUUCUUGAAAAACAGAAAACAAUUUUUACAAUAUAAUAGUGGUGAACACGAUCCUGAAAGAAUAUUGAUUUUUGUACCAAAUGGUGCAUUAAAUGAUCUCACUUCGUGUAAAGAUUGGGCUUAUGAUGGAACAUUCAAAUGCUGCCUUGGAAAUGUUUACCAACUUUUCAAAAUGCAUAUAAUUCUUGGAUAUGUAUCGGUGCCAAGAUUAUUUAUCUUUCUCCCAGAUAAGUAUGAAGCUACAUACUAUUUACUACUUUGAAGUAUCUAAAAUCAUCAUUAUGCCCAUGAAACAUUAAUGAUAGAUUUUGAAAAGGCAAUUCUGAAUGCCUUUGGAAAUAUGUUUCCUUUAAUAAACAUUACGUGAUGUUUAUUCCAUACGUCCAAAAAUAUCUACAGACACAUUUUAAACUUAGUCUUAAAAUUAAAAUAUUCCAACAACGCCGAUUUUAGUUUAAAAAUUAAAUUUUUUACCGUGUUAGCCUUUUUUCAAAUUGCAGAUGUUAUCGUUGGCUUUAUCGAGCUUGCCGAUGAUCGUGAUUUAGACACAAAGUUGGUUCCUUAUUUCGAAACACAUCCCAUUUGGCGUAUGCGAGGCGAGGGAGAAGGAAGAAGGAGAGGGACGCCAACAUUCCCCAACGAACUGUGGAAUGUUUUCUCAGGAACAAUUAAUAACAAAAUAAUAACUCAUAACAGUGUAGAAGGAUUCUAAAUUUUCCUUUCAAAGCUCUAUUACGAAUAAACAUCCAAAUCUUGAGCAAGUGAUGGAUUUUUUUUAGAAUAGAAGAAGCUUUGGCACGGGACAAAAAUGGAUUUAGAAUGUGGAAAUAUUGCACCAAUUAAAAGCCUGUAAUCUAAGAUUGCAAGAAGUAUUGGCAAGUAAGGAACUGAUCCUGAUAUAAUUUGUUGGGAUACAACUUCUUGUAAUCAUUUUUCUUAAUGAUGGUUUGGAAAUGCUUCCAAAGUGAAGGAUUCUGGCUCUGCCUGGAAGACUGGAAAGCCAUAUACGAAGACUUUAAGUAGUUAUUUGUUCAAGUUCUUCCUACAUAUCUACUGAUUCAAUUAUCAUGAAAAUAAUCGGGAAUGACUCUGAGAUCCGAAGGAAAUGUUUCUGUGAGGACCUUAAAAGUAUUUAUAGUUCUAUCAGGAGGUAGCAAAAGUCUGACUUUUGAACUUGCCUUUACAACAAAUAGGCCAAAUGAAAAAAAUAAAUAAAUAAAAACAUCCAACAAUUUUAGUCAAAGGGAAAACAUCCUUGGUUGUAGACAUAGUUUUAGUUCAAAAUCGGCUAAAACUCUGAUGGGAUAAAAUGUAACUAAAAAUGUGUUCCUCAUUAAUCCAUCCCAAAAUCUACUGUAUGUCUCACGACUUUUGCUUGGAAGAAGUGCAUAAACAAUAUGGAAUUACUGUAUCCAUGACA